rnacentral:rRNA from 1 species
AGUGAACGCUGGCGGUAGGCCUAACACAUGCAAGUCGAACGGCAGCACAGUAAGAGCUUGCUCUUACGGGUGGCGAGUGGCGGACGGGUGAGGAAUACAUCGGAAUCUACUUUUUCGGGGGGGAUAACGUAGGGAAACGUACGCUAAUACCGCAUACGACCUACGGGUGAAAGCAGGGGAUCUUCGGACCUUGCGCGAUUGAAUGAGCCGAUGUCGGAUUAGCUAGUUGGCGGGGUAAAGGCCCACCAAGGCGACGAUCCGUAGCUGGUCUGAGAGGAUGAUCAGCCACACUGGAACUGGGACACGGUCCAUACUCCUACGGGAGGCAGCAGUGGGGAAUAUUGGGCAAUGGGCGCAAGCCUGAUCCAGCCAUACCGCGUGGGUGAAGAAGGCCUUCGGGUUGUAAAGCCCUUUUGUUGGGAAAGAACAGCAGCAGGUUAAUACCCCGCUGUUCUGACGGUACCCAAAGAAUAAGCACCGGCUAACUUCGUG